GGUUAAGCGACUAAGCGUACACGGUGGAUGCCCUGGCAGUCAGAGGCGAUGAAGGACGUGCUAAUCUGCGAUAAGCGUCGGUAAGGUGAUAUGAACCGUUAUAACCGGCGAUUUCCGAAUGGGGAAACCCAGUGUGAUUCGUCACACUAUCAUUAACUGAAUCCAUAGGUUAAUGAGGCGAACCGGGGGAACUGAAACAUCUAAGUACCCCGAGGAAAAGAAAUCAACCGAGAUUCCCCCAGUAGCGGCGAGCGAACGGGGAGCAGCCCAGAGCCUGAAUCAGUGUGUGUGUUAGUGGAAGCGUCUGGAAAGACGCGCGAUACAGGGUGACAGCCCCGUACACAAAAAUGCACAUGCUGUGAGCUCGAUGAGUAGGGCGGGACACGUGGUAUCCUGUCUGAAUAUGGGGGGACCAUCCUCCAAGGCUAAAUACUCCUGACUGACCGAUAGUGAACCAGUACCGUGAGGGAAAGGCGAAAAGAACCCCGGCGAGGGGAGUGAAAAAGAACCUGAAACCGUGUACGUACAAGCAGUGGGAGCACAGAGCAAUCUGUGUGACUGCGUACCUUUUGUAUAAUGGGUCAGCGACUUAUAUUCUGUAGCAAGGUUAACCGAAUAGGGGAGCCGAAGGGAAACCGAGUCUUAACUGGGCGUUAAGUUGCAGGGUAUAGACCCGAAACCCGGUGAUCUAGCCAUGGGCAGGUUGAAGGUUGGGUAACACUAACUGGAGGACCGAACCGACUAAUGUUGAAAAAUUAGCGGAUGACUUGUGGCUGGGGGUGAAAGGCCAAUCAAACCGGGAGAUAGCUGGUUCUCCCCGAAAGCUAUUUAGGUAGCGCCUCGUGAAUUCAUCUCCGGGGGUAGAGCACUGUUUCGGCAAGGGGGUCAUCCCGACUUACCAACCCGAUGCAAACUGCGAAUACCGGAGAAUGUUAUCACGGGAGACACACGGCGGGUGCUAACGUCCGUCGUGAAGAGGGAAACAACCCAGACCGCCAGCUAAGGUCCCAAAGUCAUGGUUAAGUGGGAAACGAUGUGGGAAGGCCCAGACAGCCAGGAUGUUGGCUUAGAAGCAGCCAUCAUUUAAAGAAAGCGUAAUAGCUCACUGGUCGAGUCGGCCUGCGCGGAAGAUGUAACGGGGCUAAACCAUGCACCGAAGCUGCGGCAGCGACGCUGAUGCGUUGUUGGGUAGGGGAGCGUUCUGUAAGCCUGUGAAGGUGUACUGUGAGGUAUGCUGGAGGUAUCAGAAGUGCGAAUGCUGACAUAAGUAACGAUAAAGCGGGUGAAAAGCCCGCUCGCCGGAAGACCAAGGGUUCCUGUCCAACGUUAAUCGGGGCAGGGUGAGUCGACCCCUAAGGCGAGGCCGAAAGGCGUAGUCGAUGGGAAACAGGUUAAUAUUCCUGUACUUGGUGUUACUGCGAAGGGGGGACGGAGAAGGCUAUGUUGGCCGGGCGACGGUUGUCCCGGUUUAAGCGUGUAGGCUGGUUUUCCAGGCAAAUCCGGAAAAUCAAGGCUGAGGCGUGAUGACGAGGCACUACGGUGCUGAAGCAACAAAUGCCCUGCUUCCAGGAAAAGCCUCUAAGCAUCAGGUAACAUCAAAUCGUACCCCAAACCGACACAGGUGGUCAGGUAGAGAAUACCAAGGCGCUUGAGAGAACUCGGGUGAAGGAACUAGGCAAAAUGGUGCCGUAACUUCGGGAGAAGGCACGCUGAUAUGUAGGUGAAGUCCCUCGCGGAUGGAGCUGAAAUCAGUCGAAGAUACCAGCUGGCUGCAACUGUUUAUUAAAAACACAGCACUGUGCAAACACGAAAGUGGACGUAUACGGUGUGACGCCUGCCCGGUGCCGGAAGGUUAAUUGAUGGGGUUAGCGCAAGCGAAGCUCUUGAUCGAAGCCCCGGUAAACGGCGGCCGUAACUAUAACGGUCCUAAGGUAGCGAAAUUCCUUGUCGGGUAAGUUCCGACCUGCACGAAUGGCGUAAUGAUGGCCAGGCUGUCUCCACCCGAGACUCAGUGAAAUUGAACUCGCUGUGAAGAUGCAGUGUACCCGCGGCAAGACGGAAAGACCCCGUGAACCUUUACUAUAGCUUGACACUGAACAUUGAGCCUUGAUGUGUAGGAUAGGUGGGAGGCUUUGAAGUGUGGACGCCAGUCUGCAUGGAGCCGACCUUGAAAUACCACCCUUUAAUGUUUGAUGUUCUAACGUUGACCCGUAAUCCGGGUUGCGGACAGUGUCUGGUGGGUAGUUUGACUGGGGCGGUCUCCUCCUAAAGAGUAACGGAGGAGCACGAAGGUUGGCUAAUCCUGGUCGGACAUCAGGAGGUUAGUGCAAUGGCAUAAGCCAGCUUGACUGCGAGCGUGACGGCGCGAGCAGGUGCGAAAGCAGGUCAUAGUGAUCCGGUGGUUCUGAAUGGAAGGGCCAUCGCUCAACGGAUAAAAGGUACUCCGGGGAUAACAGGCUGAUACCGCCCAAGAGUUCAUAUCGACGGCGGUGUUUGGCACCUCGAUGUCGGCUCAUCACAUCCUGGGGCUGAAGUAGGUCCCAAGGGUAUGGCUGUUCGCCAUUUAAAGUGGUACGCGAGCUGGGUUUAGAACGUCGUGAGACAGUUCGGUCCCUAUCUGCCGUGGGCGCUGGAGAACUGAGGGGGGCUGCUCCUAGUACGAGAGGACCGGAGUGGACGCAUCACUGGUGUUCGGGUUGUCAUGCCAAUGGCACUGCCCGGUAGCUAAAUGCGGAAGAGAUAAGUGCUGAAAGCAUCUAAGCACGAAACUUGCCCCGAGAUGAGUUCUCCCUGACUCCUUGAGAGUCCUGAAGGAACGUUGAAGACGACGACGUUGAUAGGCCGGGUGUGUAAGCGCAGCGAUGCGUUGAGCUAACCGGUACUAAUGAACCGUGAGGCUUAACCUU
rnacentral:rRNA from 1 species